rnacentral:rRNA from 1 species
GCAGCAUGCGUCAGUGGCGGACGGGUGAGUAACGCGUGAGCAACCUGCCUCCUUCUUGGGAAUAACAAUUAGAAAUAAUUGCUAAUACCGAAUAAGACCACGCCCCCGCAUGGGGAUGAGGAAAAAGAUUUAUCGGAAGGAGAUGGGCUCGCGUCCUAUUAGUUAGUUGGCGGGGUAACGGCCCACCAAGACCGCGAUAGGUAGCCGACCUGAGAGGGUAAACGGCCACAUUGGAACUGAGAAACGGUCCAAACUCCUACGGGAGGCAGCAGUGGGGAAUAUUGGGCAAUGGAGGGAACUCUGACCCAGCAACGCCGCGUGAAGGAAGAAGGUUUUCGGAUUGUAAACUUCUGUUGCGAGGGAAGAAGAAUGACGGUACCUCGUAAGGAAGCCCCGGCAAACUACGUGCCAGCAGCCGCGGUAAUACGUAGGGGGCAAGCGUUGUCCGGAAUGACUGGGCGUAAAGGGAGUGUAGGCGGCAUCGUAAGUUAAAUGUGAAAAGCCCGUGCUUAACAUGGGAGGUGCAUUUAAAACUGCGGAGCUUGAGUGCGGGAGAGGUAAGCGGAAUUCCUGGUGUAGCGGUGGAAUGCGUAGAUAUCAGGAGGAACACCGGAGGCGAAGGCGGCUUACUGGACCGUAACUGACGCUGAGGCUCGAAAGCGUGGGUAGCAAACAGGAUUAGAUACCCUGGUAGUCCACGCCCUAAACGAUGGAUACUAAACGAAGGGGGAGUUAAAUCCUCCUGUGUUGAAGCAAACGCGAUAAGUAUCCCGCCUGGGGAGUACGGCCGCAAGGUUGAAACUCAAAGAAAUUGACGGGGACCCGCACAAGCAGCGGAGCAUGUGGUUUAAUUCGAAGCAACGCGAAGAACCUUACCAAGACUUGACAUCUGUUUAGAGUUCGCAGAGAUGCGGAUGCAUUUAGUUGGAAGCAGACAGGUGGUGCAUGGUUGUCGUCAGCUCGUGUCGUGAGAUGUUCGGUUAAGUCCGGCAACGAGCGCAACCCUUAUGUACGGUUGCCAAUAUUCAGUUAGGAACUCCGUACAGACUGCCGCGGAUAACGCGGAGGAAGGCGGGGAUGACGUCAAAUCAUCAUGCCCCUUACGUCUUGGGCUACACACGUGCUACAAUGGGCGCAACAAAGAGAAGCGAAACCGCAAGGGUAAGCGAAUCUCAAAAAAGCGUUCUCAGUUCGGAUUGAGGGCUGAAACCCGCCCUCAUGAAGUCGGAGUUGCUAGUAAUCCCGAAUCAGAAUGUCGGGGUGAAUGCGUUCCCGGGUCUUGUACACACCGCCCGU